UGCAUACCUUGACUCCAGCCAUGACAACACAAUUCCCAUGAAGCAGCCCUUAAAAAUCACUCUGGAGCUGACACAGCAGGAGACUGAAGAGCAUAAACCCAAUGAGUAUUGUGCAUAGAGAAAAAACAACAACAACAACAACAACAAAAACAAAAACAAAAAAAAACCCCAGACAUUUCAAGGAAGAAGGCAGAAGAAAUCCAAGGACUGACAGAAAGGGGUGAUUUUCAAAAAGAGCUAAAAGAGAGUGGUUUUGGGUAUGACACUAGAUAAAGCUGAAAUGUGAGUACUUGGUUUUGGUUUUGUUUUGAAACAAAAUAUUGCACACAUUCUUUGGGUAGAAAAUAAUUAUAUGAAAGAGCUGCCUGACUUCCUCAGCAAUUCUCCAAUAUGCAAGACCCUGAUUUUAGCUAAGUGCUUAUUA
rnacentral:lncRNA from 12 species